ensembl:lncRNA
AGACAAUUCAAACGUAUAUUGUGAUGCAUCCUGGUUUCUGCAACAUGUUACGGCCACUUCGUUUGAAUUGUGUUUGGAGGGAAACAUUCUGCCCGCUGCCCUUUGUGUUUGGAGGGAUACUGAGCUGUUGUGUUCUGUAAAUAAUAGAUUUAGCCGCUGGAAGCUCUUUGACCUGCACCACAUUGCUGGGAUUUUGUAAAAGUGAAUCCGGAGAAGAAUAUCGGUUGACACAGGCUUUAGUUCAAUAUUGGAGCACUGCAGCGUCUGUGUGGACGAGCAGCUGUAUAAACCUUUAACUCCCAAGUCUCCUGCAUGACUGGAUUCUUUUUCUACUCUGAGUUGUGUUUUCAUUUGCGUGUGUCUUUAAUUUUGUUGUUGAGGUCAAACAACUUCAACACUCAAAUGUGUGUUAUUGGCAAAGACAAGCCACAUUGUGAUGGAUGGAAAUGAUGUUGCCUUUAUUAAUGCAUGAAGCACACAAUCCCAUUGACGUGCACUCUGCGCGAUUCAAAGUAACAUGUGUUAAAGUCGAGGGGGUAUACAAAUACACGAUGCAAAUGAAUGAAUGUGUAAAUGAUGCGUUGUUGUAGUUGGAAACUAUCCACCAUUGAAGUCCAUUAAACAGAACUGUUCUGGUGAAACUGACUCACAGGCGCAUUAAAUUUGCAUCCUUGGUCUCGACAGCUCAAUUUCCUGCUACAGCAGAAACAUUGAAUUUAAACACCUACGUCCCUUUGGGAAGCAGACACCUUCAAAUCCGUCUUAAUCCCAAAGUGCACAACUCUUUCUCGCUGUUUCUAGUGAGUCCACAACGUGCAAGUUUGACAGUUACUUUUCCAAAAGAGAGGGAGAGAGGUCAGAACAAAGCUACUACAUCUUGAUCAAGUUAUCAGGAAUCAGGAAGAUUUAUUGCCAAAAUGUGUUAGACAUGCAAGGAAUUUGACCUUGCGGUUGGUGCAUAACAUUGGAAAGUAAGAUAAUUAGAACGAGACAAAUAACUCGAAAAAUGUUCAAUUAAAAUUUUUACCAUAAUAAUAAUACUGCUGAGAAAAUAAUCUAACCAACGAUAUAUACACCUUAAUUACACCAACUAUUCAGCUUCACACAAGGCUUUAAAAAAAAAGACAGAAUUUUGCAACUCUGAUGAUAAAGCAUCUAAAUUUGUUCAAAAUAAAGGGGGGAGUUGAUUCGAAAAUCCAACAGUAGUCAAGACGUUGAUCCACACUUCAUCUCUGGGCAGGAGAGAAAUCACUCCUUAAACCAUCUUCUAGAUAACCCAGUUAAACAAGUUAGAGCAUCACAAUCAAUCUCAGUGGCACCGCAGCCGAGUUUACAUGACAGCUGAAGCGAGCACAUGCUACUCCACUUUCAGACGCCUAAUUAACACCGCUGCAAACCACAGUAGCUACCAGGGAUCAGUAUACAUACUGUAUAUAUAUAUAUACCUGAAAAAUGUUUGUACAUGGGAGCACCAUCCACUAAAGCUUCAGCCGCCACAAUUAUCACCAGGUAGAAUCUGACUGGGUCCGACUUGCCCGGAGGAGAAAUGUGACCAUUAAAAGUUGUGUUGUGCGGCGAUGCCGCGGGAGCUGUCCGCGGUGCUGAACUGUGCAGCACUUUCCUAACUGUGAGCCGGUGGUUUGGUGUCACUCGUCAGGCAGAACGGAGGCUUUUAUUGAUCAGUGAGAGCAGAGAAGAGCGAGGAGCUUUAACGCCUCAACAAACAUCCAUCGCAUCGGCUUCGAAGGGCUUUAUUCUGCGUCGGGACCAUAUCUGUCUCUCACGUGGUUAGUAGGGUUAGGACAAAAGCAAGCGGCGUCAUGUCACUUUAACUUGACAUGAAGUGAUCCUGCAGAUUGGAAAACACAAUAAAUAGGUAUUUAGUCCUUUCAAUUUGGAGGAGUCGUUGUCCUUGUAGGACUUGUUGGCCCUCACCAGCUCCCAGAACAACACAACUGAUGUAUUGUAAAACAAAUAUAUCAAUGCCAAUAUCAAACUGAACUACAGUAAGACUUUUGACAUUGUAAUUACAAAUAAAUCAUCACAUUCAGAUUUGACAGUGGUGAAUACUUUGUUGUAGCUUGGGGCCACUUUGCUGGUGAUGGACACGUUGGUCCUUCCUGUAAUCAAGCUGGUGACCUUCUGCUGGUGGGCGGAUAUCUCACUCUAAUUACAGCUAUGAUGGAAGCAUUUAACUACCACUGGGAGACAGCAACACUUAAAAGCUUAAGUAAUUACCACGGUGGAAUAAGCUGGCGUUUUUGAUUCAUGCUUAGCAAUCAGCGCCUGCAAAGGAAAGCAAGACAAGGCCGAGCAGCGGGAAAGGCGACUCGCCUUCAAAUCCCGCCCGCUUCGCUCGCUCAGCCGCACAGCUGAAAUGUCGUCGUUUGACUGAAGCCCUUUGAGGAGAAGUCAUUCAGACGGCUCUCUUGAGCUUCGCCGGAAGUGAACGCUCACCUGGAGAAGUGAGCGCGGCGAGGAAGUAAGGCGGGGCCUUCAGAGCUGACGUUUUCCCCGAGGGAACACAGUUCACCGAGGAACUUUUGUCCCGAACGCCUCCAGCCUUCAAAUGUCGGAGGUGUAAUUUAUUCAGAGCAGGAUCAGUUAGGUGUGUGUGUGUGUGUGUGUGUGUGUGUGUGUGCUGGUUCAUUUCUAUGCGACUGAGGACCAAUUUCAGCUACAGGCGCUGAGAGUGAGUCAGGUGAUUAUGGGACUGAAUUGCUACUUUGUUGCACUCAAUUUUUUUCAUCCCGGCAUUGGGUUUCUCUUUAGGACGUCGUGUCAUUUUGUAUUUUGUUUUUCCCGAACAUGUCCCAUGGAGUGAUGGAGCCGUGUCUGCAAUUUUCUUCUGACACGGAAGCUGCAUUAGCUGUCGUUGGGAUCAUUUCACUUUCGUUCAUUAGUAUUUUUCCACAUUGAUUAAAGAAAUAUGCUGCUGUCCGUGCUGGUUGCCAUGGUUGUGGCCAUUUCACUCUCUGGAUUUAUCACGGAUGGUGACAACAUAGUUCUCAUUGUCCGCUGUCUCAAACAGCCGUCAGCCAAUCAAAGAUAAGGAUGAUUUGGUGGUUGAUCAGAUAUUUAUUUGUCCCCUUGGUUCAGCUUUGACCUACUUACUUCCUGCCACACAGUUUCCCAAUGCAAUGAGGGAUAAGUGACACAUUGCUAGAUUUUAGAUUGUAGAUUUUCUUUUUUUGCACUGUUGGAGUCACUUUCUCAUUAACUCGGUUGCCGAGAUGUUGCUCCGGUUUCAGAUGUCUGCUUUUACCUAAAACAACUAAUGAUAUUGGUAUUAAUAAACAGUCGGGAAUGACGGUCCAAACUGAUGAUGAUGAGCCAGAAUGAUUCUUUAAGUUCCCGUGAGGUCAGGACCAGGAGCAAAAGCUUGUGUUACGUAAACGAUGAUUCCCACAAUAGAAGUACAAAGUGUGUGUUUAUGCGUCUAAUCCGUUGUGUUGUUGUGUGAAGACCUUACAGGCCCUUGUAUGAUUUAAUGCGCACACGCACACACACACACACACACACACACACAGAUAUUCCAAUCUGAGCUCUUGCACCUCAGUAAAUGGGCCACAUUUGCAUUUUAAUAAUAUUCCCUUUUAGCAAUCUCAGCACAAGGAGCCGUGCGGAUGUAUUUUUGAGCUUUGCUUGAUGCUGUUGGAUUAAUUCUUUAACGGCCUCUGGAAACCUCCUCGCAGCGCUCAUUCUUUCCCACUAGCCAUUCUUUCAUAUCUCCCUUUGCCCCGUCGCUCCGUCUCUAUUCUCCCUUCGCUCCGCUCACACUUUGCUGUCUUUCUCCAAACCCCGUUGUUCGGCCGAAUCGCUCAUCCUGAAGUACCGAGCGAAGGCGGCUCCAUCAGUUUGCAGUCGCGGGUAGUGCAGUUCGUUCUCUGUGAUCUGAGGCUAACAGGAAAAGUCCACAAGUGUCACAUAAGAGCAGCUUGAUGUUGGAUAAUUCAUGUCAUCUAUCUUUGGUGGAUUCAGCCUUGCGAUGCCUUAAAAUGACACAUUUCACAUCUUCUUCUUCUUCGCCUGCUCUGGUUUCUUCUCAGCCAAGAUGUUGCUUUGUCCUGAAAUGUAUGUGUUGUUUCAUCAAAAGCUUCUGUCUUGAGCAUUAAAUGUAAAUGUUGACCCCCACAUGAGCCUUUUUGCAGAUUAAGGCGCUACAUCGAUGAAUAGAUGAUUGAAUGACACUUCCUUUACUGCGCAAUGUUACACACUGAACAACUUUUACUUUGAACAAGCAAGCCAUUCAAAUUGUGUUUAAAUAUACAUAUAAUCUGAAUGAUUGAAACUUGGACUAAUCUCCACAGGUAUCAAUGUCAUAAGACAACAAAUUAGUUUGGUAUUAUUGUACAAUAUAACUUUGGAUGGUACGCAAAUAAAACCUCAGGCUUUUUACAGGCGGAUGAGUGACGUGUCAAAGUCACAGUGUCAAGAUGUACUUCCCGGCUCAUUUCUCUUGCUUACAUUUCAUUUUCUCCCACGGAGACGUUGAUUCAUUCCCAUUGGUGUGUGAUCUCAUUCCCACUGCUGCGUCCCAAUAUGUGAAAAGGAUUUAGCUCAUAUCCUACUAUGCUAAGUGCAGGAUAUGAAUACCGAGCGGCAUUCCAUCACUUUGACUUCUCCGUCAUUUUGAAACUUUCAGUUGGACGUUAUGGAAGAGUCAGAUCUAUUGUACUGCUGUAAUCUGCUGUAAUAUCAUGCUGUCUAUGAGAUGAUUAUUUUGCCCAAAUGGAAUUACUUAUAAUUUAUCUCCUAAUAAUAUAUCUUUAUCUAUUCUCUGACACGAGAACGCAAAGGCCAGAAGUCAUCUGGAAGGUUUCAAACCACGCUAAAACAUGCAGCGUGUCGCUUCAGGGCUCGGCGUCAUGACGCAGGUACAUUCUGCACGGUGGAGGCUCGAAAAUCAUCUGAAGUUGAAAGUCCAUCUGGUGUGAAGGCUCAGAGUAACAUUUCAAAGGCAGAAACUAACCCGACACUUUGGCAGAAAGCUGCCAGCACUGAUUGUCAAAACACUCAAUUCUGGGUUGUUAAGACAUCAAAUUGUUGUGGGAACGAGAAACUCAUCUUUUUCUAAGAAGCUGCAAGAGAUCGGAACAAUUACGAGGGAGGAGUUGCAAACAAGACGAGCCAUUAGGAGGCAAUCUACCCUGUUCUGACAGGUAAUUGAGAAGUCUUUAAGUAUUUUUAGCUUUUAGCACAUAUUAAACUCUUCAACGAUGAAACGUGCGCUCCGGCUGUCAAUUUCUUUGAUGAGGACACAAAAGGAAAGAACCUGGAGGGACAAUGGAGGACAAUCAGAGUCAAACGAAGACGACUUUAAAUCUUAUCUUUUUUUCUAACAUGUAUUGUUCACCAUUACAUUUCGAUCACUUCAAUUAUCGAUACUACCGAUAAUACUGCUCUCGACGCCCUUAUUUUGGAGCUCAAUGGCCGGUUUGUUCCAGUGAUGAGGUGGAGAGAAGAUUGUGCGUUCAGCAGGAACACGCUGCAGACCCAACAAGGUGAAAAUAGUUCUGGUAAGAACAUUACUCGACAGCAGUUGUUGGCACAGCUGGAUGGCGCCCGCUCAGGUGUUUUGACAUGUGACUACCCAGAAGGCUCAGCGCUCACCACUCUGCUCGCAACGCCCGCCUCCAAUUAGAUUGUCUGUUGUAAUUGUAACGAUUCUUGACGCAUCAUUUCACAAAGAGAGACAGCAUCCACCUCAUGGAGAACAACGACCACGUUGAGAAACAGCUCCAUGGCGUGAAGGACGGGAGGCUUCUUCUAUCGGGGGGGGAACAGACGCAGGAACUGAUGAGCUGACGGUCGCUCGGGUAAACAAAUCACCCCGUAAACCAGAGACGGAACGCAGCAAACGACGGGGCUUACUGGGGGUGAAGAUGGAAUGUGUGAGAGUGGAAUAUUUUCAAUCUGUAAUCCAGUUGGUUGGGCAUUUUGGAAGGUGUGCGCGCCACAAGUUGUCAGGUUUUCUUUGAAUCUUCAAUCCCCUUUAGAAAUAAACUCGCUGAAGGAAAUAAGAACAAAUCCAUUUAGCGCCAAACCUGAACACACUCCCGCACGGUGGCUGAACUAGAGCCGAGCCAGAAAAACAACUACAGGAAAUGAAGUACAAAACUCAUCACGGCGUAACGCAGCCAAAACAUGUUCUGCCGUAGACGUCAACACGGACUGAAGUUACCAGAUUUCGUGUGUGUGUUGAAAGAAACACGGCUUGAUCACGUUAGAUAACAUCGCAGCCGUCAUACAGGUGGGAUCCAGGUGGGAGUACCAACAACAGGAGGACCCCCCCGCCCCCCAUGCAGGACCUGUCCCGGGAUCACCAUCACCAUCCUGCUCCGAUGAGGUUUGUCAUCCCUAACGUCUGUUGUUUUGGAGACGUUGGCAGUGAAUGAGGUUAUUUAUAGAGCCCUUUGGCACCCUGCUGGCAUCUUAAUCUACUUGUUUUUGGAUCUGGUUUUCUCUCUGCAGCUCUGCUGAUGUAACAGAUGCCAGUUACAAUUUGUUGCCCGUUCCAAAAGAAUCAUAAUGGAAAUUUAUUUCAUCAGUUUAAUCAUCGUCUUAAUCUUAUUGGAAAUGUAGCAGGUCUUUGGGGUAUUGGUAAUCGAUGGCAACAGACCAGCAGUCUCCACCUGUGUGGAAGAUAUGGAGACUUUGUAGGUGUAGCAGCCACUUCGAGGACAUUUUUUUACAGAUCAGAGACUAAAAGAAUUGUUAUUUAUUCUGAAAGUCACGCUCAAUCUCGGAGGUAAAGGAGCUAAAGUGCAGAGGGGAAGAGGGCAAAGCACCGCACGGCUUCAUGAGACAGAUCCUGACAUCACUACAGAGGGAAAGCGCCCCAGCAGCCAGCCGGCACUUUCAUCUCAAGCCCCCCCCCCACACCUCCCCCACACACACCUCCCUCCCCCGCUGUGUGAUCACAAGGUGUAGUCCUCAUGUCAGUCAGAGCCUUACCACAGGAUACACAGUCACGCCAUCACAAGCGGUAACCACAUCACGCCGCGCCGCGUAGGAGGUUCGCCUGUGAGGACACAAGGACGGGGCGUGAUGGACACGUGUCACGCAAGGGACGAGGACGCGCCGGAGGAAAUGCACAUGACUAAUGCAACACGUCUGCGAAACAUCGGGGAGAUUUGUUAGCCAUGUCUGUCGUAGCCGUCCUCCUCUCACCUGCACUUCUCGCUCUCUGAUGCUUCUGACACAAUUACUCAGUUUUCUUACACUGACGUCCAGUGAUGGUUUGAUCAGAAGCUUCAGUGUGUUUUUGAUCUUUAAAGUUCUCGUCUUUCUUUAAUGUAUUUGUCUGUGUGUCAUUAAGACGCCUGUGAGGAAAACACCAAUUAAUCCAUCAGUAAUUGAACAUCAGGAGAGUGAGUGGGCCUUUUCCAGGCCUCUUUUCCAAGAAGGACUAAUUGAAUAAUAAGAUAAUUACGGCCGGGAAAGAAGCCACACAGAAGGCAUCACUAAGCAUUCAUUGCAGCUAUGAGAAAAGUUGUUUUCCAAAGUAUAAAACCAUUUUAUCUGAUAAGAUAUCAAAAGAAGAGAUCCCGAACUCGUCUUCCCAGACAUUUAAUUAUAGGAUCACAAGAGUAUCGGCUUUAAACACAAAAACGCUUUAAGGUUGAUGUGAUAAAUUUCCGCCAACUUUGUCGAGCUGGAGAAGGAAUAACUUUAUUUUCAAUUUAGGAAGUGAAUUUGCAUAUAAAUUUGAGUUUCGCUCGGUCGGGAUGAAGCCUGUAUUCACUCGGUCUUCGGGACAAACGUACUGUUAAUAACAAUUUCACACACGGAUAUUAGUCCUCAUUUCAGUCUUCACCGACCCGCUGUGUGUUUCUGGCACGUUGCAGAUUCUUCACAGCUUCCCGCUGCAGUGAACUCGGCCGCAUGUCACACAGCGCGCAGGGAGAGGAACGCCGGUUUAUAAUUACGGGUUUCUGCACACUGUCUCCAGCCAUGAGAGGGUGACUUAAUUAACCACCAAACGGGAGCUCGUCACUUUCAAUGCCUCUAAUUGCGGAAAUAGUGGCAGUCACAUGAACUUUCAAUUUCUCCUGUUUUCCAUGUGCAACGUCAAUGCACACGCUGUCACUGAGGGAAGAGAAAUGCACAAGAAAUAGACUCUCUUUUUCACCAUUUCCAGUUAAUCCAGCCUCCCGGAUGUAGCUUUAUAUUCAAGUACACGCACAAGCUUCUCAUCUCACUCUUAACCAGAAAGCAAACACGUAUGCAUAUUUCUCAAAAUGUCAAACUAUUCUUUUAGGUAGUCUCAAUCUGACUCCUAAUCUCUUCUUAUAUUACAGGGUAGGAAAUGACUGAAUUUAUAAGUAACCUCUUUGCCUGCUCUAUCGGGUUAGGACCAAAUUACCAGUUCUUUCUUAAAUGUGUCUGCAACAUCAAAGAAUAUAAAACUGAUCAGACAGAGCAGGGGAUCAGCUGUGCAGUUCUUAUUGUAUUCAGUUACUUUAGAAAUGAUUAGGAUGCAUGGAUCAACUGCUUUCCAUGGACAAAUUAUCAAAGCAGUAAGUAUUUCAUCAGAAUAAGUGCACAAAACUCGACACACGCAGUUUGUGUUGCUCCGACUCUUCUUGUUGACGAGCAGAAGUUGCUGUUUACAGAAACCCUCCAUGUGGCCCUGUGAGUGGGAACAAAACAAACAAGGUCCAGACAAGAAGUCAAACUGGGAGAAACGUGGUGACCAGCUGAGGGGUUCAACGUCUCCGUGCCAGUUCGCAGACGUCCAGGGUUCAGGCUGCAGGACGUCCACGCAACGCUUCAGAAUACUGAGCUGCAACGUGCAACACACAGUGCAGCCCGCGUUCUCCACUCACAUUAAACAGAGCGGAGAAUCCCUGCAGAAACACCUCAACUUGAGGAGCACGGUCAAUUUAUUUCAAUUUCAACCUCCCUUUGAUCGCGUGGGCCGACUUCUGCACGGAAUGGAAAGUUUCAAGCUACUCUUGACUUAUUUAUCCCAGAACUCCACUGCGGGGACGAGGUGGAGGCUUCACGGCAAAAAGGGGACGGGUGUUGUUGAUGACAGAAUUAGAAAAUCUCGGACGAUAAAAGGCCUUUGAUUAGAACAUGUGAUCAAAGAAUGAUUGUAGUCCAAAUCACCUCUGGGGAAUCAUCUGCGAGCUUUUGUUAGCUGAUAAACGUUGCGAUCUUAUGAUUAAAGGACCAAUGGCUGUAAAAUAUACGCCCACUUCCCAUAACUGCUUGAAUUACAUUUUGAGCAACACUUUGAUGGAUCACAUCCACAUUUUUAAUAUGAGCGUCCUGCCUGCUGAAGGGAAGGAGACGCAGGAGGAAGGCGAUCACAGAGCGGCUUUGCACUUUCGGGUUCAGCGGCCCUCAUCCGUCCCCCUGCCAUGAAAAAAAAAACACUUGUGUGUGUUAAUCGGUGAGGUUUGCAAUGUGGGGUUGGAAUCGAACCCCCUGCACGCUCUCCUCCCUCAGCGGUCGCUCCGCGCUGACCUUUAACCCGCCGCCAAGAAAACACGGCCCGGGUGGCGGCAGCGCUGCCAGAUCUCCUCUCUGCGGGAAACCAGCGCCGAGGUCUUAUCGACUUCUAUUGGCGAGCAGCAGAGGAUGCACUCGUUCCCCCGGAGGACGGCGCGAUGGACGACUCGCCUGUCAGACAACACACAAACACAUUAAAGCGGCGACAAAUGACUCCACGUGAAAGUCAAGCUGCGCACCUGGAUUCACUGUCUGCUGCCACCGAUUGGUCCAUUCUACUCCCGGACUGACCUGAGCUGGCUAAUUGUUCAAAUUGAGAUGCCAUUUGAAUUAAAUAAGCUACUUUGGGUUUACUUAUAGUGUUGGCAAUGAUUACCAUUUGAAUUGCAUUUAUCCCCCAGCUCUUCUGCAGAGGCCCUUUGACAGCAGCCGAAUACAUUAGCUUCUGAGUUGAGCAAAUAUUUCUCUGAAACAGCAGGGCGACUCAGGAGGGAGAAAUAAAUUACCUGAGUGACACCUCAUUAAACUCAAGUUGUUGAAGCUCGGCCAACUUGGACAGCUGACAGAGCUGAGUGGCAUGAAGGGAACUCUGUCUCUAUGAAUUUAAACAUAUUUAAUUUGACUUUAUUUAUCCGGUAAACCUCGACUCUGUAUAAAUAUUCAUAUACAAUGUAUACCUACACAUAUAUAUGUGUAUAAUUAUACAUGUAUAAAUACAUAAACUUUGGAUGACGGUCGGGAGAAGACGGUGCUGUUUGGUGCUUUGGUGUGUGUGUGUGUGUGUGUGUGAGCUUUGUGUGGCCCCCACGCUCUCUUAUCAGGAUCACAGGCAGGUGAAACGCCCUGAAGACCAAAGGCCUCCGGCCACGGCUGUCACAGGCGUCAGGGCCCGGUUCUGGUUCAGGUCCAUAAAGAAGUGAGCUUAAUGUAACUCUGAAACGCACUGCGCCGCUCAUAUUAUGUAUUAUUUACGGUAUAGUUGAAGCGUUUUUGAAAUGUAGGAAAAUUCCACCUCAAUGACUUCGAUGUGCAUUCCAAAACACAUGAAUAUCCAACAUCAACUGAGCUGUGAGAAUCUGCUGCUUUAAAACAAAAUAAUUUAUAAGUAGUCUCUACCUAUUGAAAACGGGAAAAAACAAAACAUAAUAAGACUCACUUAUAUAGUGGGAAAUACCAGCGAGAAAUAAGCGUAAUGAAACAGCAGCUGUUUCUUCGUCUCCUUCCCCUCCAUCCGGAUUGAAUUCACACCAUUUCUCAUCAUUAGCACGUCCUCCUUUGCCUUCAGAUUGCUGAUCAUCGCAUUAGGUCCACUGCAUCCUCUUCCCAAGGCAUCCGUUUCAUUACCCAGCCCGUCCCCGCCUCCUCAUCCCCGACCUCCGCCGCGUCCUCGUCCUCGUCCUCGUCCGGUCUCUUUCUCUUCUUACUCGUCGUCAGCCGGACGAUGGGCCCAAAACCCCCCCGACGGCCCACCGAGCCCCCCCCAUGACAUCCCCAAAUAGUCCCGACCGCAGGAGGGGAGCGAGGCCGUGAUGCGGCUCCGGCAGGAUAAUGAGGGAGUGAAAGGAGACGAGCAGCCUCGGGAACAGAAGAGUGGAAUAAUGAAAAGGAGUCCGGGAGGAAAGGAGCGAGCAGAUGGACGAUCAACACUCCUCGCCGCCCCAGCCAUUACUUUUUCAUUUAGUCAAAUCUUCACCACUUCAUCAAGUUUAUGUUCACAGGGGCACUUAAGCAUUUCUGUGGCUGCCGGUUUCUUUAAACCGGCAGGUUUUCAGUUGAUAAUCCCACGGUGCAAAGACGAAAUCAACCCCAAUCAUCCAGUGUGGCUUCACUGGAGAAGAGAACCACCUCUGUCAGGAAUACCAGUUCAACUUUCCCAGUGUGACUAGAACUGUUUUAACAUUUUAAUGUUAGCUGUAAGUCUUCCACAUGGGGAGCAGCUACAGACGUCAGUACGUGAUUGAUUGUUCUUAACGACAAAACAGACUUUUUAAAGCAGUUUAUUCGUUGCACCCAGUAAUCCAGAUGUGCAUUUGAUUUUAGCCUGAGAGGAAGAGAUACACAAUGAAAGAUGAAGGUAUAACAUGUGGAAAUAGAGAAUACUGGAAUUUUGGUCAAAAUGCUUUGGUCUAGUAUUUUAAAAACAGCAUUUUUCUUGGCCUUUUCACCUUUGUUGAACUAACGAAUUUGAGUGACUGACCCAAAGCUAAAGCUAAACCUUUGAGGGCUAAAGAGGAUGCUACCGCAGCUGGCCUGUUUCCUCUGCUUCAAAAAAACACACACGGUUCUACAGGCAGUUAUGAGACGGAAGUCGGUGCCUUAAAUAUCCGCUCGAGUUGCACUCUGUCUGCAGCACCACAUAUGUCACCACGAUGACAAGUGUUCCCUCCCUGUGCCACGUUCUGCCGUGUGAGACGUCCGCACAAUGUGGUCUUCUCCUUCAAAUGUAGUUUCAAUGUCACGUCCUGCUAUCAAUGCGGCACAUUUCAUAGACCUUUAAAGCCGCGUAAGUGAUGACGACAACCAAUCCCGAUGAUUCAUAACGGCCCUGAAUGUACUGCUGCAGGUACAGGAUCAGAAACUGGAAGCAUAUUUCUACGUAUUCCUUUAGAACAAACUAAGUUGAUCAUCCAUCUACCAUCAAUCGCUGCUUCACAUGUAUUUAAAUAUUUUUUGAAGACUAUGCGUUUUUUCUUUCACAACUGUGUCUCUGUCCCAUAAGAGUUAAACAAAGCCGGUCUUUUUUCAUUACUCACAGCAUCCUUCAAACUGCGGACUUUCUAGCUUUGAGCUCCGGGCUGUUUUCAUUGUCGUUCGUCCGACCCUAAGGCCUACACUAAAAACCAAAAACCCAUCACUCUUGUCAACAUCUUCAGGAUCCACCCCUGGGCUGAGUUCCCAACCACAGAAGCAAUACAAAACAUUAAAUUGCCUCCGUCCCCUCGUUUGUUCGCCCUGCAGCAAGCACUUCCGAAAAUCCCCAAACUUUUAAUGAGUAAAUAAGUCAUCAUGAAGCUUUUUGAGAUACAUCGGAUCAUCUAGUUCACUCAAAGGCUGUUGGGCAGGCAGCAAGCCGCCCACACUGCGUUCCACAUCUGCAUUCUUCCAGGCCGUGUGUUCGUGCUGUGGUCCAGUAGCUUGAAGGUGAGUCCGUCAGUGCAAGCGGAAGCCACCGGGAGAACGUUCCACUGGAUUGGAUGGAAAUGCAUGGAAUAAAUUGUGAGCCUGUGCAGCGUGUGGAUCACAGAGGCUGAAGCUGCUCGGUACGGAACAAAUUCCUUCUCUCGGAUGGAGAAUUUUGGUUUUGGGGGGGAAAAGCAUGAGGAGUUUUGGCUUAGCUUUCUUAAAGCAGCUUCAACUUCAUUCUCGCGGGGCAAAGUAUAGGAAACGGGUGAAUUUCUGAUGUUCACACAGAAACUUUCUUAAUUCCGCCAAUGUCUAUUUUCAAUGACACUCUGACACCUCCUCUGAUAGGUGUCAUGAAACUUGGAUCACCAAUAAUCUCCAAAUGAUUGCAAUUCACUUGUCAGAAGACAAUGAAUCCUGUGUAAAUAGUUCUGUAAUUUAUUCUCAUGCAAAAGUCCCUCCAAGAGAAACCUUGAAUCCCAGUGAGACACGAUUGGACUAGUGUGCAAUGCCCUUGAAAGAAAAACGUCUUGCAAGCAUUAAAUCAGUCAAUCAAUAAGACGCUUUCAUGCAACCAAAAACCGUCUGUGGGAGUGUUCGAGUCUUAGUGUGAAGCUUUUUAUUGCCAUUUUACGGAUGAGCCGCAUGCAGCAUCGAGGCAAAGCCUCUGCUUCUCCUCUCGGACGUGUCUCCACCGCGUGCUCCUCGGGUCUGAGGGGGAAUCUGUGUGAACGGCUCUCCUUCGCUGAGCGUGUUGCGCUGUGAGGAGGAUUCAACCCGUACAGUUUGCGGCGGUGUUUGGAAACACUGCAGAUCCCUUUACCGUUCCGCUCGUCCCGCUGGAUUUGCACACAUUGUAAGUGAAAUUAACAUCACGUGACGUCUUUAUGGACCUCACAAUGAAGCGAACUUGUCUCUCCGGAGACUUUCCUGGUCUUUCUUUUAAUGAGUAACUUUAAGUGGAUAAAGUCAUUUCAUGCCCACUAGGCAAGCUAUAAAACCCGAACCAACUCCUCCUUGGAAGGUCUAAUAGAGAAUUUUAAAGUAGACAAAAUCAAAUUUGAUUCAACCCCAUACACAUAAUGAGUGUGGUCUUUUAUUGGGUUGUACAGAGGAGGGCGGGUGGCUAAAGUGUGGGAUCUAAUUGCCAAUCUGCUCUCCCUUUCACAGAGAACGCCAGUUCUUUAAAGCAAAAGGAACUUUUGAACACAUCAUUAGAGAUGUUUGUUCUGCCCUUUUGGUGAGGGAUAUCAGGUCAAAGUGACAGAGGGUUUCUUUAAAAUAUCCAUAUAUACACACACACACGCACACACACACACUCAUAUACACGCUGGGUGAAAUAAGUAUUGAACAGGUCACCAUUUUUAUCAGUAAAUAUAUUUCCAAAGGAGCUAUUGACAUGAAAUUUUCACCAGAUGUCGGUAACAACCCAAGUGAUAUAUACAUACAUACAUACAUACAAUACAAAGAAACCAAACAAAGUUCAGAAAUAAAGUUAUGUGUAAUAAUGGGAAAUGACACAGGGAAAAAGUAUUUAACACGCUUACUGAUAUUUAUUCAAUACUUUGUACAAAAGCCUUUAUUGGUAAUGACAUCUUCAAGACGCCUCCUGGAUGGAGGAACUAGUCGCAUUGCUCUGGUGUGAUCUUGGCCCAUUCUUCCACACAACCAAGGUUCCGUGGGCCUCUUCUAUGAACCUCGAUCUUCAGGUCUUUCCAUAGAUUUUCAAUGGGAUUUAAUGACUGGGCCAUUCUAGCAGCUUUAUUUUCUUUCUUUGAAACCAGUUGAGAGUUUCCUUGGCUGUGUGUUCGGGAUCACUGUCUUGCUGAAAUGUCCACUCUCGUUUCAUCUGCAUCAUCCUUGCAGAUGGCAACAGAUUUCUGUCAAGAAUGUCUCUGUGAAUUUUCCCAUUCAUCCUUCAAUUAUGUGAAGUUUGCCAGUACCAUUUGCUGAAAAGCAGCCCCACACCACGAUGUUCCCACCUCCAAACUUCUGGGUUGGUAUGGUGUUUUUAGGAUGAUGUGCAGCGCCAUUUCUCCUCCAAACAUGGUGUGUAUUAUGGCCUCCAAACAGUUCAAUUUUGCUCUCAUCUGACCACACUACAUUCUCCCAGUAUUUCACUGGCUUUUCCAAAUAUUGUGCAGCAAACUUUAAACAAGCUUCAACAUGCUUUUUUUUUUUCAGCAAUGGAGUCUUGCGUGGUGAGCGUGCAUACAGGCCAUGGCAGUGGAGUGCAUUACCUACUGUUUUCUUUGAGACAACAGUACCUGCUAAUUGUAGGUCUUUUUGAAGCUCUCCACAAGUGGUCCUUGGCUCUUGGACAACUCUUCUGAUUAUUAUUUUCACUCUGUCAUAAAUCUUGUGAGGAGCACCUGGUUGAAACUAAUUCAUGGUGAAAUGAUUGUCUUUCCACUUCUGUAUUAUGGCCCCAACACUGCUCACUGGAACAUUCAGAAGCUUAGAAAUGCACUUAUAACCAACGCCAACAUUGUGUUUUGCAACAAUUAGGUUGCGAAGGUCGUGAGACGGCUCUUUGCUUUUACCCAUCAUGGGAUGUGUCUUGUGUGGCACCUUGGCAAUGAGACCUUUUUGUAAGCCAUCAGUUGGGACUGAACCAGCUGAUAUUAAUUUGCACUGACAAGGGUCUGGAUUGCUUUUUAAUUACUGAUAGUUUUCAGCUGUUGUCUUGGCUUUCCAUACCUUUUUGCACCUCCCUUUCUUCAUGUGUUUUACUUUUCCCCUGUGUCAUUUCACAUUAUCACACUUAACUUUUUUGUUACCAACAUCUGGUGAAAAUUUCAUGUCUAUUUGGAAAUAUAUUUACUGAGAAAAAUGGUGUUCAAUACUGAUUUCACCCGCUGUACAUACUAUGAUGAUGGAGCUUUGACCUACAACAGGCUUUUCCAUAACAGUUUAAAAGAGACUUGCGGUGAGCUUGUUUAUUAGUUUUUACGGAAUUUUUAAAAAGGCCAGUUUGCAUUCCAUCCAUGAGGAUCCAUCCAGGAAGAUGGAGAUAAUUAGAUUCCCAUUCUCAGUAAAUUAAUAUUAGUCUGUUUCAAAAGACAAGCAUUUUCUCUCAGCUGUCUGCACAAUAAGCUUAUUUUCUUUUUAUUAGUGUCUUUAAAGGAGAAUUGAUUGAUCUGUUAGCAAAAUGUUCAAUGUGACGGGGAACAGUGGUACUGAUGCAUAGCAGGACUGAUGGGAGCCAUCAGAACCAUUUUUACAAGGGCAAAACGCAACUGAAAACCAGAACGGCCGUUUCGAGACCUAAAUUUGAUCAUUUUUAAAUUAGACUUUAUUUGAGUGUAACAGUAAAAAAAAUGAGAAAAGAAUAAAGCACAAUUAUUUGGUUGAAUUCACAACACAAUACACAAUCUGUCACAGUGGAUCUCCUGGAAACCGAGAAAGAAGACGAUGGCAAAGAUAAACUAAAACAAGGGAACACAUUUGAAUUAAUAAAUUAUCAUAAAUAGAGCGGAAAAGGCCUUCAAGAACCCUUUUGGGGGGGGGGGGGGGGCUCAAUUACAGCUGGCUCCUGUUUUAUAAAUUACUUCCUUUCAUCACGUUUUGCCUACUUUUUUACAAUCCGUUCCACUUUUAAUUUAAAAGUGAUGCAAUCUUACCACAUUCUCCAUACAUGGACAGAAAUCAUAUUUUCAAACACUAGUGAAUUCGCUAUAACUUUGUCAUUACUGUGAACUUUUUAACCAAUAAUGUAAUUAAUAAAAUCGAGCCCCUUCUCCCCAAAGCGUCUUAUCUUUUGACGUGCUGUGGGAAAUACAACUAACCUGCAUGCGUCUUGAAUACCCAAAUUAAAAGCAUAAUACGAGAGUGGAAGCAUUUAUUUUGUCUCCUGAAAUGGUAAUUAUGAGAGUAGUUAUUUCUAGAAGGAGCGAUGUAUAUUUCUAUAUAUACUUCUUUUAUUCUACACACACACACACACACACACACACACACACACACACACACACACACACACACACACAUAUACGUGUAUGUAUAUAUAUACCAACAGUUUUUUUGUACGUCUCGUUCAAACUGAUCCUUUUUAUCAUUUCUUGUGGGGUUGUACAACCACAAAUCAUAUUUGCCAACGUUUUUAUGAGGUAACUGAGUAGAUUUUACCCUCCACGCUGGGGAUCACAAGGUGAUGUCAUUGUUCAAUUACUGUCUAUGUGCUCUGAACAAACACGUCUCAGACACUCAUGAGACGGGGAAACCUGAAGUGUGUUUACAUUACAUAUUUAGUGUCUUUCUCUUCUGGGGCAGUAUUGUUGAGCAUAGGUGUCUACAAGGCAUUACCCAACUUCAAUAAUGACUGUAAUGUUUAAAUGUCAUACUUUUUGUCUUGAGUGAGUUAUUCAAAUAAAAUGAAAUAAAUAAAAUAGGAUAUAUAGAUCUAUAGAUUCACUGAUUGACAUGUAUGUAUAUUUAGACAAAUUCGACCCACUUUGUCAUAAUGAAAUAAUCAUUGUCGGCUUUAUUGGACCCAGACAGCAACCCCCCCCCCCCACACACACACACAGCCACCUUACUUCAGACCGGUGAUUCAGAAAACCUUUUAUUUCAAGCUAAUGUGCCUAAAAAUGCCUGAAGAUGGAACCGAUGGAUCCACUUGAUUAACAGCGUUACCGUGGUUACACAACAACUUCCUCCUCGUCUAGGGGAAAACUCUGGCUGAAGCACAGCUGUUGUUUUGACAUCCAGUUCCUCCCUAAACAACAUCGGCACCCAGAGCCAUCCUGAUAGAAGUCUUGUAAUGGAGAAAGGGAUUUCUCUCUGCGGGAUUCCUGACGGAUGACUUUGGACCACGCGUCCGGGAAGCACCAGAACUCCUCGAUGGAGUGAGCUGUCUGCUCCCAUUGACGACUCGCGACAAAUGACUUCAGCUGUUAGAGACCAGUCACUUUCUGCCUGACGGACUGGCUGCAUACGGUUUUUGCACAGUAGAGUUGGAAAGAGAUUUGUUCAUUUGUAAUUGAUCUACUGAUAAUCAUAGGCUCAUUAAUGUCAUUAGGCAUUUCAGGUCUUAAUAAUUUAACAACUGAGCAUUAGUGCUAGUAUGAGAGACUUUGCCGAAGACAAAAUGUGUCAAAAAUGAUGACUGCUUACUUGGAAUCAUAAAAGCUAGUGAUAUUUGUUUUGUGCAUUUAAACUAGGAUAUAAAUCCUGGAACCCAAAGUAAAUAUUUCCUAAAACUAUAUAAUAUAUUUUUAAAUGUAUUAUUCCAAUGAUGGUUUUUCUGAAUUUUCUAAGGACGUCAUCAAUUCUACUAUUUCAAUAUUUUAUUCAAUCGUCUUUUGUUAAAAAUAACCAAAUUAAACAAGGCGAUAGACCUAAAAUUCAAACAAAUAUCUAUGACAAAUUUUAACUUGACAGUUAAAAUGGUUGCGACAUGGUGGUUAUGACUGAUUUCAUCUCUGGAGUAAUAUGCAGUUAACAAAAUCAAACGGGUGUUUGCAUCAGUGUGUAAACACUCAAAGAUAUUUACAGAUCCAGCAACAACAGUCUUAAACGUGAACCUCAGCCAUUUGCUAAAAAUAGACUGACACAUAACGAUGUUAAAUGGUCGCGUUGUAUCACAGCAGCAGGGACUGUUAACCCUUUCAUCCUGUUUACAUUUAAUAAUCCCAGUACGCGAGCCUCCGGUAGGGACUAAAUGUAAACCAGGACGCCGUUGUAUCGCGCCAGCUGCCAUCCCGACGAAGCCGAGGGAGAUUGUUUGUGCGAGGUGGCGAACCAGUUACACUGCUGUCACCAGCAAUUUACUAAUUCCAGGGCGCUUAGAGACCGCCACAUUGUUUGGAAUCUGUCUGAAACACUUUCACACAUUACAGGAUUGUGCAUGAGUUAUUUUUAAUAAUGGUUAUGCCGCCAGAGGCCAAUCUUGUACUCGUACCACCCUCCCUUUAUUGCAGUCCUUCGCAGCCGCGGCCGUGACUUCAUUCAGAGUGACAGAGUGGAGGAGUUGGGUUUCUCCGUGCGCACGUGAGCUUCCUGGUGCCUCGCCGAGACACAAUUAUACGACGAAGCUGAAAAAAGUAGCUGAAGUAUAACCGUUGAGAUUGAACCGACUUCUCGUAUUUGUGAUGAUUGAAGAUUCGCGCACGUCGUUAUCGGUGUCCUCACUGGAUGGACGAGGAGAAUGUGAGUUAGAGCGAGGACAAGCUCCUUCAAACGAGACCUUAACGGCUGAGUAGGCCACGGAAAAAAGGUUUGUCUACUUGCAAAUGUAUUAGUGGCCUUCGCACACUCAGGUACGGGUUUAUCUAAGAUUCUGUGGGAUUUAAGGUCAUGGCAAAGAUGGUUUACAACUUGAGGCCCGUUGAACUGACCCAAAGGCCACAAGGGGCCGGUUGAGAAUAAGCAUUAUUGUGAUUUUAAGCUUAAAGAGUAAGAUAAACAUGAAACCAGCAUAAGACUAAGUUUGUCUCCUCUACUGCACUCGUAAACCAAACACUUUGUCCUGAGCAAACAUGCCAGGAUUGAUUUAGUGUCGAGCCAGCGGCAGCUUAAAUGUCAUAAAUUCACGAACCAAACAGAUUUUGGCUGACAAGAUCAGUUUGAUUUUUGGAGGCGGUGCUGAUCUGGGAUUUCUGCCAAUAGAGAAGAUUAGUGAAACAACUGUAACUGUUGCAUUUGGCGCUACAGCGCGGGGCCCUAAUACAGGAUUACCAUGUUAGCUGCCAAACAGCAUUGCGUUUAUCUGCUUUUUUAAAACGACAAUUAAACCUGGAACAAACAGGAUGAGCCGAAACGGCUCCCGGGGCUGCAGCUUUAUUAAGUUUUAUUAAGUUAAGUUAUAGGGGGGAUUUAAAAGUUAAUUAAGAUAACACUGAUACUAUGUUUACUAGAGAUACCGAAGCCUUGUUAAACUGCUUGUAUCUCAUGCAGCACGUCGACUUUACAACCCACAUUAAGGGCCAUGUCCUCGACCUAAUCUGUUAAGCAUCUAAAAUCACCGCGGCUGAACUACUUAGCUCAUACGAAAGGGCUGUAUCAACAGCAGCAUGCAGCAAGGUGAAUUCUAUGGUGUCACACAACACCAUUAACCUACAAACUGGUCAGGCUCAAGCCACCUGAAAUCCCAGUAACGUCUUCAAGCAAAACUCUUUGUUUAUGAAGCGAUGCAACUGACUUGGUUUGCACAGUAGUGACCUGAACGGCCGUCGGCCCACUUCCAAAUUAAAAUCAAUCUACACACAUAUAUAUUAUUUCCAAAGUGUUUAAAAAACACAAUUUCAUAUAUUUUGCAAAAUAUUUUGUGAUUUCUUCCAAAUGUCUGAAUGUUCUUUGACAUGGUGGAUGCACAGUGUUUGACAGUUACUUGAGUGAAUUGAAGCCAGCUUUGGAAUUACCCCAUCUUCACAGAGGCGCCGUUGGGUGGAGUUGAAUGUGGAACCCAUUUAAAUGUUUUUAGAAUGUCUUAUGACUCAAUUGUAGAAAUUAUUCAGAUUUUUUUUUCAAAUGUACAUUUCCUAACCAUCGUGCCCCCUCAUAUGACUACAGAAAGAAUUUCAUAUAUUUUGUAAAAUAUUUUGUGAUUUUUUCAAAUGUAUGUUUUCUAACCAUUGUGCCCCCUCAUAUGACUACAGUAAGAAUUUCAUAUAUUUUGUAAAAUAUUUUGUGAUUUUUUCAAAUGUACGUUUUCUAUCCAUCGUGCCCCCUCAUAUGACUACAGUAAGAAUUUCAUAUAUUUUGCGAAAUAUUUUGUGAUUUUUUCAAAUGUACGUUUUCUAACCAAUUAGAAAACCAAUCGUGCCCCCUCAUAUGACUACAGUAAGAAUUUCAUAUAUUUUGCGAAAUAUUUUGUGAUUUUUUCAAAUGUACGUUUUCUAUCCAUCGUGCCCCCUCAUGACUACAGUAAGAAUUUCAUAUAUUUUGCAAAAUAUUUUGUGAUUUUUUCAAAUGUACGUUUUCUAAUCAUCGUGCUCCCUCAUAUGACUACAGUAAGAAUUUCACAUAUUUUGCAAAAUAUUUUGUGAUUUUUUUCAAAUGCUUGAAUGUUCUUCGACAUGGGAUGUACAGUGGUUGACCAUUACUUGAGUGAAUUGAAGCCUUCAUUGGAAAUACUCCACCUUUACAGAGGCGACAUUGGGUAGAGUCGAACCCACUUCGCCGGUAUGGCAGGUAACAGUGCUAACCACUACACCACCGUGUCUUCUCCAACAACAACUCAAUAAUGAAUAUCCUGUAUCUGAACUUGUGCCUGAAGUCUUCUUCUGCCAGAGUGCUUCAGUGUCCUUGUUAUCUUGUACUUGGAUGAAUGAACACAUCACACAUCUAUUUCCACACUUUAAUAUCACACCUCUUGAUUAGUUUCACAUUAUGUUCUCUUUUAAAAUACUAUUCAGUGACUCAAGCCUUUUAUGGAAGCAAAUGCAUCGUUUAUGUAUCAACACAAUUAUUGAAGUUCUUCCUUUUAAUAUUUUUUUUUUCUCGUUUUUGUAAUCGUGAAAUAGUGCACAGUGUGUGAAUGCAAAUUGUCGAUGAAAACAAAGAGGGUUGUUGAACUUAUUUCGAGAGAUGACUGAGCAUGUUUCUGCACUGCAGAAAUGAGAGUUUGACCAGAUCGAUAUAAGAGUUAAGAUGAAAUGUAUUGAACAUCUGAGCAGAAUGACGUGAUGAAUUCGUUUUUGAGUGGGCCUGACAUGUAAUCUAAAAGUCUGACUCUGUUCUAUCAGUACAUCAUUUUAAUGGAAGUCCACGUGAAUUCAUACUUCACUUUCUAACGUAAUAAACAAACGUGUUUACCAAGAGAAAUUAUACUGUGAAACAAUGGCCGCCAGUCUGAACUGAAAUGAAGCCGAUCGCCAAAUGAUCACAUUUAUUUCUUUAUCGACAUGACUCUCAGCUCCUGUUCUCUAAUUGGAUCAUUUGUGGUCCGUUUACUGGAUGCCACAUCUUACUGCAUCCUGCAGCUUCUAACCCCUCUGAUGGUUCCUGUAAGUUACCAUCGAGCGGAAUAUUAAACUCCACACGAUGCACAUCUGCGUCUGAUGUUCUUCUUGGUCGAACAUCAAUGCAGCGAGAACAUUAAACUGAACGAAUCAUCCAUGCGUCCUCCAGCGCUCACGUUAGCUCCUCCGCGCCGACCUGGAAUCACUGAGGGGUUUAAAUGGUGUCAGCACGUUGAAACAUUUUACAGGUUGAGUUAUUUUUAAGGGCUGGAGAAACUUUUCCUUUUUGCAUGUUGAGAUUUAUUGAUCAGUUGCACUGGUCCUGGUUGAAAAUGAGCACCAACAACGUAAAUAACACAUUCUUGACACAAUCCUUCAAUGAAUUCGCAAUCUUCCACUACAACAACAACAGGAUGAUUUAUAUUUGAGGAAGGUUUUAGGUUAAAGUAACAUAUUUGAGUUUGAGGCAACAUUAAGAAUUCAUUGUUAUUGAACCCCGUUUGCAGUUUGAGGAAACAACAACAUUAUGUUGUACACACUAAAUCCAUUCAAAUAUAUAAAAUACUUAUUUGUUGAAUGUCAGCGUCCAAACUGGAUCUAAUCUUUUAAUGGGCUGACUAUAAACCAGUGAAGCUUACCAAGACAAAGGCCUUCAACUCACUCAAUGAAUGAUCACAAUGAAACCAAUAAUGAAUUUGAAGCAAAACACAAUCUAAGCUGCAAAAAAAAAGAAAUUAAAAACCUAAUUAAGUUUAAUCUGAGCUUUUAGGAAGAAUCGUCUCAUGCUGGUUUGUUCCCAUUUCGGUGGCACUUCACUUCAGUAAAUAUUGUGAGAAUCUUGGCAGAGUUUCUGUAGUGUUUUCACUUGUUAUGGCUGAAUCGUGUUGGUGCAGAAAGUUGUACUCAUAUUUUCAAAGAAACCUUCCUGUUUUUCAGCUUUUUUGUUGUUGACUAAUUUAAUAUUUCUCUUCACAGAAUAAUCAUUUGGUUUUAGUUUGCCGCUAUUUGCAUUUCUUGGGCAUUUCUCUUUCAACCCCUUCAGAUGAGGCCCAGCAUAGAUUUCUAAACAGUUUUCCUCAACGGGGGGAAAAGUCAGUGAUUAUGAAGUUUCUAUUAUUUCUGCUCUAUGGGAGGUGACAACUUGAAUGCUCGUUACCACACAGCUACGACGAACCCAUCUGGACCCUUGUAGUUACAACGCUGCAGCAUCACGCUGUUGUUCUCUCUCUCUCUCUCUCUCUCUCUCUCUCUCUCUCUCCUUCAUUGUUCACCGAGCAGAAACGUAAUUCAGAGAAACGGCCCACAGACAGAACAGAACCUGCGUGUGCUUCAGGGAUGGAGGACUUUGUUGUACCUGAUGCUCAGAGUGCGGAGGACUGGCGUGAUGCUGCACGUCAACAGAAAACUAAUGUAAAAGCAACAUUACAUGUCUCCCCGCUGUGACAAUUAUUAUUCCAGAACGUUAUUAUUCCGGAUAAAAGACAAGUUCCUUUGGGAUCACAUGACUUACACCACAGUCGCUCCUACGUCCAAUGAGCAGAAGACCUUCAUCAAAGUGUAACAAGAGUGUCCCAAGGCUGAAUUCUAAAGUUUUCCCCUCUUUCUUUCUUCGGCCAGUUCCUCUUCCCUCCGUCACCAUGCAGAAUGUGUUUUAAGUUGAAUUGGCUCACUCGCUCCUAAGGCUCUCAGAAAAUUAGUGCAGGCGGGACGAAUGAGGUCCCGUCGUCUCAGUGUCACGGCGUGUUGUGGUGCUAUGUAUGUAAAUGAAAAGCCUCGACUUGAAUCUCAUAAAGGAAAUUUCCUGUUGUCUAAAACGUUCCGGGAACAGAGUGGUUCUAUUUUAGUCUGUUAACCAUUUAAGAAAUGUCAUCCAAAGCAUUAAAGGAUACAGAAAACUCCCGUUUAGCUUCACAAGGACGAUUUCAUCAAAGACAUGCAGACCAAAAUGUCCCAGAAAAACGGUGGCAUGUGUGAAUAAACUGUUUAAGACACUCCUACUUCACCUCGCUGCACUCACAGGGAAGGUGAACCUUCAAACUGCGCAACCUCCAAAUCCCGAAACUGCUAAAUGACAUUACGGGAGCAGCGCCUGACGUGUUCCAGGGUCGGCAAAGUUCAACCCCAACGUUGAGGCAGAGCCCUUGUGAAAGGUCUGCGGAUGAAAAGGACGUGAUUGGACUCGAGUUCUUCAGUCCCCACGGACCACAACCAUCCCCCCCCUCCCCCCUCAGAGGGAGAUAAGAACCACCUGAACAGAUCCGACUGGACUCGCGUUGAUUGGAUUCACGCCGAGCUGACGUCCGACUGGCGGGGGCCUCGCGUCUCGGGUGAGAGAAGAGGCGCCGAGCCGAGCGGCCUCAGCUAUUGAUUUAUGUGGAGAGCAUAAAGAGCACAAAGGCAGCGCGGCCACGGGUCGGCCCGGCAGGAGGGAAGAAACGCGGCGCCUUCUUAGAGGCUCGUUGGGUUUAUGUUGUGUUAAGUGUGCAUUUAACACGUUGUUUUUGUGCGAAUACAUUGUACGUCAUUCCAUCCCAGGACGCUGCUCGUGAAUGUGGGUAAAUGAUUCAUUAGUGGUAACAUGAUUAAUUAGGAGUUACGUCAAGUACACAAUGACGGAGUGCCGACAGGACGCUUUUUCCCUCGUUGGCCUUCUCUCUGUUAUCUGUGCUUCUGGGUUGUGUGAAUUUUGCAAGCAUGCACUGUUCUGUCAGGCUUUGUGACAUCGCCUUUGUUUCCAUGUGAUGGUGCAUGAAUACGUUUCAGACGCAUUUGGUAAUUUUUUACUUCGCGAAUAAAUCAUUUAGUGUCGUCUCAACAUUUUAAGUAAUUAUUUUUUUAGUUAGUAUGGAUGCGUCUAAUUAUCGACUGUGUGUGUGUGUAUGUGUGUGAGGUGUGACAUUGCACACUUAUUUAUGUGCAUGUGCUGAUAAGCCCGUCUGGAGGGACUCCAUUAAUGAUUGCGGGUUAGUUGAAGGAUCUGAAGCUCAAAUGCAGUAAAACAGACUGAUUGCAGAGCUUUGGAAACAACUCAUGCCUAAUGCUUUUUGUGUGAUGGUGUUCAGGUUGUCAUUGUUCCUCUGUGUGGCUUCAGACUAGACCUUCAAAACACAACCACACACCACUAAAAAGCACUUCAAUUGUAUUUAUAAUGGCUCUUAGCUAUGGCAAGCUGCAAAUCUGAUUAUUUGAUGAAAUUGCCCUUUUUUAUUUUGUGUUCUUCUGGGUUCGGAUGAAAGCGUCAGCUAAAUGACAUGUAAUAUAAUAUAAAAAUCUAAAAGACAUAUCUCAUUUUUCCCUCUAGACUUCUGGUGCAUUUAUUAUUUCCACCAGAUGCUCUCAAUGCUGAAGACGCACCUGAACAAAUCUCAAUUUCUGACGAUUUCGGCACUCAUCCAUCUUUUGCAUGACUAUAUUGGAAGGAGCAAAGCGUGAGCAAAAAUCGCGUUGCCAGACGUUAUUCUUUUACACAGGAUCACUUAAAGAAAUCCAUCAUGACAUUGGAACAAAUCUCUCCUGUAUUGACUUCAAACAGUUGAAGAGAAAGUAAAUCACUUUGUCUAUUAUUCUGCGCCAAUAGUACACACAGAUGGAUUUGUCGUGUUUAGGACGACCAAAUACAAUAAAACAAAUAACUUCAUUAUUCCGCCCUGUUCACUCCUGCAUGUGUUCUGGCACAGCUUGAGGGUGAAAAACGCAGCUCAGUGGGGAAAUCAAAGCGAACGCAGCGCUUCAAUUAAAAUGAAAGGAUAUUAACUAAAACAUAUUUUAUGCUAAUGCUCCUGGGAAGGCUCAGAUCACAGUUUAAGUUUGAAAGGACCCAAUGUUCAGGGACUCGCUGCAGCAUUGAUUAAUGGCAUCUAUCACUGUGAGUGAGGAGAAUAGUAAUUAGUCCGUACGUGUUUGGGACUUUUUAAAGCCACGUGCGCGACAGCUCCGCUGACAAACGGUUACCUGGUGCAGUGAUUAGCUCUUAAGAUUUGAAAGGAGGAGAAAUAGUUAAUAAUACCCGCUGAUUAGGAAAGUAAAUUACGUCAUUCCUGCAGGAGAACUUUAAUAAAACAUGUCUUGCUAAGAAUAAAAAGGCACUGAUAAACAACUUGUUUUGUGGCUUAGGUUGCAGUUCUUGUCGGGGGCUUAAAAAAUCUUUUUUCUCUCUACGGGGAAUAAAAGGGUGUCAUAAUCAAAAUGCAUUCUUUUCUGUGAAAACGUGUGAAAUCAGUGAAAUGUGGUAAUAGUGCUUUUUCCUGCCCGGGGCAAAGUGUUUAUUGAACAUCUCUCUCAUUCUUUAAACUUUGAUGAGGUUUAAUUUAUAGACCCUGCAGCCAGCUCUUGGAAACUACUCAAGGGCAAAACUAUUAGUUUAAAAUGACAGGGCAUCGAUGGGGGGGGGGGGGGGGGGUUCAUUUCUUCAAAAGCUUUUCCGAGGUACUUUUGCUCUGCCGAAGUGUUACUUCAUUGUGAUUUAGCUGAAAGGUCCAGAGGCUUGAGAAGCUAUUUCAGCAUUAACAGCUGUUUGAACGCCGGCGUUGGCCGAAGUGGUAUAUAGUGAACGUUAAGCUGGUUACAUGGGGAGUCCAUUACACCUUUCCUUUGGAUUCAGCAGUCUGGCCGUCAUUGACUUUAUUAACCCAGGCAGCUGCAACACACACACACACACACACACACACACACAAACAGCCAAUAUCAGGUAUUUCAACAGGCCGCAGAAAACGUCUGCGCUGGUUUACAAGUUGCUGAAUGUUUCAAAGAGUAAAACGGAGUGAGCGUUCUUGGGUUGGCGAGAACAGAAGGGAGAGAGAGGAACGCACACCGGGGGGUCAUUCGAUUUGCAUCAUUCCGGGGGGGUCGGAAGCGAGACGUUGGCGCUCAUCGUCGCGCGGGCCAGCGCGGUCCUGCUCCUGAGAGAGCCAGAAGCUCACUAUCAAAGAGCCCCGUUGGUCCCGUUGGGCUCCAUCAACGGUAAAUCUUUAUUUUUGGGGAGCGAAGGCGUUGAGGUGCAGGAGCUGAGAUGUGGCCGCGUGGGGAGCGGAUUUAAUAAAGCGCUGUGUUUGUCGCCGUGUGUCACAAAGUGGUGUCGUCGAAGUGGCUGGCGUGCACGCUCACUUAGAACUCAAAGCACGCCGGCGUCUUUUUUGCAUUUUGGGUCUCCGCUUCUUUAGGCUGACUUCGCAUCUAAUUCCACUGCUUGGAGAGACAAGGCAAUUUUCUAAAUUUGUUUUUCGCUCUGCACUUUCUUCGGAUAACCUACUUUUUUUUUUUUUUUUUUUAACAAACGCCAGCAUUUCUGUGAAGGUUAUUGUGACGCGACUGCCAUUCCUCCCUAAAAUGCCUUAAAAAAAAAAAACAGCGGACAGCUGAUUGCUUCCAUCGGGUUUAUUGCCUGACUCACUCUCCUCUUUGUUAGAGCAGCUCGCCCCGGACGCCGCUUUGUUCUUCUGCUGGAACACAGUCAGACCAAAGGUGAAAUCCAGACUCGGCCCUUUAUGCAAUCAGAAGACGAGAUGAACAGCGGUGAGAGUGAUUUCUUUUGGGAGUCACAGUCUUCAGCAGUCCUCCUCGAGCUUUUGGAUGCUGAAAGCAGCCUGGACAAGAUUUCCGAUUCAGCACACGACUCCUUCCGCUCUGCAGUUAUUGAUAUGGUUUAUGAUUGAUUACAUUUAUGUAUUCUUUUUUUUCCACAUCCUUUUUGGCUCUGGGUUCAUUAAAUGAGAACUGUCACCCGCGGUUCAUUUGUAAUGCAGUAAAUGCAGGAGGUGACAAAGAUGCACAAAAAUACAAUUUGUAAAUUUCCCUGAGCAGUUCAAUCUUAUUGUGUGUGUUUAGUUCUGGUCUUCUUCAUAUAACUGAGGACUGCACAUUUAAACAGCAGGGACCCAGCAGCACGGGGGAAUCAUUUAUUCAAAUCUUCUUGGAACAUGUGGCCCACUUGAAGUGUCCAAUCAGCAGAGAAUCAUCUCUUCUCCUCAGAUUAUGAGCAUAUAUAUCACACAUCGCAGAGCAGGCUGUAAGAAAAAAAAGAGACAUUUUGGAGAAUAACUAAAGCGAUUGGCAGCUUUAGAAGAGACGCUACAUUGGAUCACAUUACAACGACUGGAAAACGGAAGAAUUUUUGCGCAUUAGAUGUGAGAAACUUAACAAAGACGCUCUGUGUCGCUGAGGAUUUCUAGACGAAGGUACAAAACAAAAAGUUACUGUCCGAUACGAUCACAGCGACAACAAACGUGGAAGGAAAGACACGUUAUUUGCAUAAUGAAACAUCACAUUUUAGAGAACUUGUAAGAACGAAACAUUCGUCUGAAUGUUAGUUAUCAAAUGAGGAGGUUUCAUAGUGAUUAUUGUUAUUCAACUGGCAUUUUGUUUUUCUUCAAAUGGACUUUUUUGGUCCCGGUUUAUUUAUCAUUCCAUUUCAUAUUUCAUGUUCUCGGUAAAGCUUGAAUAUUUCACACAACACAUUUGUGUUAAAGGAAAGGCUGACGGGUCGGCAACUUAGCUUUUUUCAUUUAGUUUGCAUUGAGUCGAGAUUUCAUUUCAGUGUUCUCCCUUCUGGCUGUGACACCCCCUCCCCCCCUCACCCCUCCCCCCUCACCCUUUUCUUUGCAUUCAUGCCACUGUGUACAUCAACUGGGAUUGAAAUUGUGUUACCCUGAGAGUUUCAGGGCUGAAUAUGAUCGUGUGAUUUCCAAUUCCCUGCACUGCGACACGUUCCCUCGGCCCAGACACAAACGGCUGCACGCUUCUUUUUUCAAAGCUGUAAAUCCGGCUGCAGGUGCAGACAGAAUCCUUCCGCGUGGCUUUGCAGCUGUAAUGUCCACAUGGUUUCGUCUCAGGGGGGGGAGUCAACGCGUCCCCCAAUGGGACACUACUGAGGUAAAGGCGCACUAACAAAGUUAACUUUAACUUUAAUUAUUUGGUGCAUUCAAGGUUUGGGAAAUAAUGUCAGGGAUCCGGAGACACAACUCCUCCUUCAAGGGCGCAGACGAGACCGCGCGUAUGAAUUAUUCACACACAGAGAGCGAGAUAAGGGUACACAUACAAACACGCACCGUCCAUUAAUCCGUUUUGGCCUCCGAUACUGACAAAGUGGAAACUGCGUCUGCGAGCUGAGAGCAGUUAUACAGGAGGAAGCCGCUGGAAAAUGUCAAUAGACUGGAUGAACAAACAGACAAUAACACCAGAUAAAUAAGAAAAGGCCAAGCUGGCCAAGCUGGGGUUUUCUUUCACAAAAGAAGGUGUUUGCGUGUGAAUGAACAGUCGUAUCAGUCGCAGCCGAGCAGGACAGAGAGGAAAUGAGAAACAUCGGCAUUAGGAAACAGGACUCAAGGGAGGAGGUUGAAGGUUUUGCACCGUGAGCUAAAAUUCUGCAGCUCAGACGUAAUGUGCAUUAUGUGGUGCAGUUAUGCAACAAAACAAAGACCAGGGAAAACAAACUCUCAAAUUGAUUGUGUUAAUAAUAUAAUUAACACACUCUCGGUCAAUCAAUCAAAACCCGUCAAAAGUCCAAAACCCGAUGACGCUCAUUCUGCAAUGAUCAGAGCAGCGAAACACUUCAACACACACACACACACACACACACACGCCAGUGCUUAUGUUCCCUGGUGAGUCGACUCGGGGCGUUUGUACGGUUGCACAUGUGAGGGCUUUUAUUCUCAUGUCUUCUUCUGCCUUCUGAACUCCUGUAAUCUCUCUUUGGACGGGUACACCUGUGAUCGGUUGGCUUUAUAAUAUAAAUGUACGCACUGAACUGUCAACUGAAAAUCAUCCGAGCUUAAACUGACAGACAGAAGAUGUCUCUUUACUCUCAUUUUAUUCAUGAAGCGAUGACAGGAAAAUGGUUUUACUAUCUUCCCGGAGGGAAGAAAUACGACAUUGUUCAUGUGAUAUAUAUCUGAGGCAAAGAUCACAUAUGUACAUCUUCAUACAUGUGAGCUGAAUGAUGUAAAAACGGCAAUGCAGCACGUGCCUCAUGCUGUUAUUUUAUGAGUGACAGUGACGCUCUUCAUUAGCCU